CCCCCCGGACCCGGGAUAGCCCAGGGAAACCUGGAUUAAUACCGGAUGAGACGGGACCCGCGAUGGCGGGAUCCGGGAAAGGCGCUGCGGCGCCGCCGGGGGAUGAGUCUGCGUCCCAUUAGCUAGACGGCGGGGUAACGGCCCACCGUGGCGACGAUGGGUAGCCGGCCUGAGAGGGUGGACGGCCACUUUUGGAACUGAGACACGGUCCAGACUCCUACGGGAGGCAGCAGGCUAAGAAUCUUCCGCAAUGGGCGAAAGCCUGACGGAGCGAACCGCCGCGUGAACGAAGAAGGCCGUGAGGUUGUAAAGUUCUUUUCGGGAGGGGGAACAACCGUGGCAGGGAAUGGCCGCGGGAUGACGUGAAUCCCGGAAUAAGCCCCGGCUAACUACGUGCCAGCCGCCGC
rnacentral:rRNA from 1 species